AAGAAGGGAAGAUAAGAGGAAAAAGAGGAGAAGAAGAAGAAGAAGGGGAAAGAAAUGGCACCUAAGGCUAUCGCUUCCUCUCCUUCGAUCGCGCAACUUUUGUGUAUGUUCAUGGUUCUGGUCCUUCAUGUCAUAAUCGUCUCGGCAGCCGAAUGCCCGGGUCAAUCUGAUCCAAGCCACCCGAAGCAUUCCCCUGGAUGUAAAUGAGGUACUUACAUUAAAAAAGAUUGGAACUCUAUACUUCUCGUGGGAAGGGAUGACAAAAAUGUGUUAAAGUAGAUUCAAGCAACUCUUGGUCCAGGUUCGGUUGGUAGGUCGAAAUAAGAUUUUCAGUGCCAAAAGAACAAGUCGGCAUAUCUUUCUUCAUUAUUGGUCUAUGAAGCUUGCAAUGACUACGGCGAUAAAUUCGAUCGGCAAAUCGGUUAUGUUUUCAAUCGACACGGCUUUUGUGAUUUGGAGAGUGAUUUGCGAUUGAUCAUGAAUGCAAAGUCGUCCAUAUGAAAGGACUCGUGAAAAA